rnacentral:rRNA from 1 species
GAGUGCUUGCACUCCUGAUGCUUAGCGGCGGACGGGUGAGUAAUACGUAGGUAACCUGCCCUUAAGACCGGGAUAACUCACGGAAACGUGGGCUAAUACCGGAUAGGCGAUUUCCUCGCAUGAGGGAAUCGGGAAAGGCGGAGCAAUCUGCCACUUAUGGAUGGACCUACGGCGCAUUAGCUAGUUGGUGGGGUAACGGCUCACCAAGGCGACGAUGCGUAACCGACCUGAGAGGGUGAUCGGCCACACUGGGACUGAGACACGGCCCACACUCCUACGGGAGGCAGCAGUAGGGAAUCUUCCGCAAUGGACGCAAGUCUGACGGAGCAACGCCGCGUGAGUGAUGAAGGUUUUCGGAUCGUAAAGCUCUGUUGCCAGGGAAGAACGCUAUGGAGAGUAACUGUUCCAUAGGUGACGGUACCUGAGAAGAAAGCCCCGGCUAACUACGUGCCAGCAGCCGCGGUAAUACGUAGGGGGCAAGCGUUGUCCGGAAUUAUUGGGCGUAAAGCGCGCGCAGGCGGUCAUGUAAGUCUGGUGUUUAAACCCGGGGCUCAACUCCGGGUCGCAUCGGAAACUGUGUGACUUGUGUGCAGAAGAGGAAAGUGGAAUUCCACGUGUAGCGGUGAAAUGCGUAGAGAUGUGGAGGAACACCAGUGGCGAAGGCGACUUUCUGGGCUGUAACUGACGCUGAGGCGCGAAAGCGUGGGGAGCAAACAGGAUUAUAUAC